rnacentral:ncRNA from 1 species
AAAGUUGCUGUGAAGGGAAGUAGUAGGUUCACAAUCAUUUUUAGAGAGUUAUCGGGUGGUGGAAGAUAACAAUGAGCGUAGCUGAACUCGUCCCGGAGCUAUUAGGGUGAAAUGAAAGUAAUUCUAAUCAGGUGAACUCCGUUAAAGGUUGUUGAGAUGGUUGUUUUUAAACAGGGAGCUUUUGCUUUGCUGUUUGUAUAGAUAAUCAAGUAGAGUGGUAUCGCGAUCUUUCGCCUCUAUA